AGAACGAACGCUGGCGGCAGGCUUAACACAUGCAAGUCGAACGGUUGUAGCAAUACAGCAGUGGCAGACGGGUGAGUAACACGUGGGAACCUUCCUAGGGGUACGGAACAACUCAGGGAAACUUGAGCUAAUACCGUAUACGUCCGUGAGGAGAAAGUUUUAACGCCCCUAGACGGGCCCGCGUAGGAUUAGGUAGUUGGUGAGGUAACGGCUCACCAAGCCUACGAUCCUUAGCUGAUCUGAGAGGAUGAUCAGCCACACUGGGACUGAGACACGGCCCAGACUCCUACGGGAGGCAGCAGUGGGGAAUCUUGGACAAUGGGCGCAAGCCUGAUCCAGCCAUGCCGCGUGAGUGAAGAAGGCCCUUGGGUUGUAAAGCUCUUUUACCAGGGACGAUAAGUGACGGUACCUGGAGAAUAAGCCCCGGCAAACUUCGUGCCAGCAGCCGC
rnacentral:rRNA from 1 species